CACUGGAAAUUCGCUAUUGUCCCAAAUUAAAGCAAAGAUGCGAGAAGGAAAAUGGAGAGGAUUGGAAUAAGAUUUCUCACAUCCCAUAUCUUAUCAUAAGUUGAACUACUGCAUACGCUUCCCUAAUAGAACAUGACAUGGAUUUCAAAGGGGCAGAAAUGAGGGAAGAAGAAAGCAUAAGGAUAUUUUGAAGUGCAAAGCAAAUUUUUGAAAGGGUGCCAGCAGGAAACAAGGGAUGAUUGCUAAAAACUUCUCACAUCCUAGAGAUAUUUUGAAGAGCAAAGCAAAUUUUUGAAAGGGUGCCAGCAGGAAAAAAGGGACAAUUGGUAAAAACACCUCACAUC